AUUGGGGAGGAAGGAACCAACCGGGAUUGCCUCAGUAACGGCGAGUGAAGCGGCAAGAGCUCAAAUUUGAAAUCUGGCCCCCCUGGGGGUCCGAGUUGUAAUUUGGAGAGGAUGCUUCGGGUACGGUGCCCAUCUAAGUGCCCUGGAACGGGCGGUCAUAGAGGGUGAGAAUCCCGUAUGGGAUGGGCGGCCGUGCCCGUGUGAAGCUCCUUCGACGAGUCGAGUUGUUUGGGAAUGCAGCUCUAAGCGGGUGGUAAAUUUCAUCUAAAGCUAAAUACUGGCCGGAGACCGAUAGCGCACAAGUAGAGUGAUCGAAAGAUGAAAAGCACUUUGAAAAGAGAGUUAAACAGCACGUGAAAUUGUUGAAAGGGAAGCGUUGGCCACCAUACGCGUCCGGGAGGGUUCAUCCGGCACUUGUGCCGGUGUACUCCCCCCGGGGU
rnacentral:rRNA from 1 species